rnacentral:lncRNA from 1 species
UUUAAUAAAAGGGACUGAAUGCACCUUUAUUUUUACAAUAUACACUCCUAAUUUUGAAACAGGCCCAAGAGCACCAAACCCAGACACUAGACCGUUUCUGCUGCACCCCUAGGUUUCCUACUCCUACCCUUCCUAAGUCAGAUUGCCUAAGAUGUUGCCACGUGGCAAUCCACCACUAACACCCAGGUGUUGCCACAUCAUCAACCUUUGACAUAUCAUCAUCUUAUUCACAAAAAUCCUAAAUUCCCAAACCCAUGGUCGUCGCACCGCACCAUCCUUGCCGUCGGCCACCUUGCAGCCACCACAGAUUCUUGUCGUCAGCCGCCUAGCCGCCGCUGCCAUCAUCAUCGCGCCACCACGCCCAACUUCAGGUCACCAUCAAUGUGGAUCGUCUUCCUCAUGCCAAAGAACCCAGUUCGUCUUCUCCAGCAUCGCGCAACCAUCUUCGUCGACAGCAGCCAGCAACACCAUCUCCUUCCUUGCGCGAGCAAAAUCCUAGCCACCCAUCUUCAUCUUCUCCAGCGAAGCCCAAAACGCUGCCGCGCAACCAUUCACACUGCCACAACCAGAAACAAUGUCUCCUCCACGCCACAGAAUCCAGAAUCGCAUCAGCCAUUAGGAAACCAACGAUGCACCAUCAUCGUUCAUCUUCUUCCUCGCAGACCCCCAUCCACCUCUGUCACCAGAACGACGAAAUCGCGAGUUCAUCACCACCUGCACACAGAAAACAAGCCAAGAAACCCAGAAUCAAACCCUAAACGUCUAAAUCGCACAUCAACGCUUUCAAGCCGCCAUCCAUGGACGUUGCAUCCCAUCUCAGCACUUGCCCCCAUUCAAACCUGCAAACAGAGAAAUCAAUUUGCACAAAUCUGAGUUAAGAAUCCUUAAAGCAAGUCGCGGCUGUGGAGGAGAAGGGGUAAAACCCUAUUCUUGCAUUUUCAUCUCAGGAGCGAGCAGGAGCCUUCUAGAUCUGUUUACCCUUAAUCUGCUGCAGCCCUAAUUUUGGGAAGGGAAGGGAGUGACACGUAUCAGAUUCCCAUUGACACGUCUAAUCUGGUCAAUCCUAGUUAAAGUCUGGUCAAUUUAAGGGUCUUUGUGCAAUUUUAUAAAAGAAGAAGGGGCUAAAGUGAAGAAAAUCCAGG